GAGAUAUGUCUUGCCACCCCAGAUGAUUGAGUAAUAUAUAUAUAUAUAUAUAUAUAUAUAUAUAUAUAUAUAUAUAAAUAUAUGUGUGUAUAUUAAUCAAUCAUCUGGGGUGGCAACACAUAGCCA